UACGGAGGGAGCUAGCGUUGUUCGGAAUUACUGGGCGUAAAGCGCACGUAGGCGGCUUUGUAAGUUAGAGGUGAAAGCCCGGAGCUCAACUCCGGAAUUGCCUUUAAGACUGCAUCGCUUGAAUCCGGGAGAAGUGAGUGGAAUUCCGAGUGUAGAGGUGAAAUUCGUAGAUAUUCGGAAGAACACCAGUGGCGAAGGCGGCUCACUGGACCGGUAUUGACGCUGAGGUGCGAAAGCGUGGGGAGCAAACAGG
rnacentral:rRNA from 1 species